rnacentral:rRNA from 1 species
GAUGAACGCUGGCGGCGUGCCUAAUACAUGCAAGUCGUGCGGUAACGGGGAGAGCUUGCUCUCUGCCGACGAGUGGCGGACGGCUGAGUAACACGUAGGAACAUACCCCAAAGUGAGGGAUAACUGCUCGAAAGAGUAGCUAAUACCGCAUGUGGUCUAAGGAUUAAAGCUUCGGCGCUUUGGGAAUGGCCUGCGUUCGA